rnacentral:ncRNA from 1 species
UCCCAGCAUCCAGAGAGGCCAUGGUGGCCUCGCCAACCUGCUCCUCCAGCAAGGUGGCAUCCCGAUCAAGGGAGAUGCGGCCCGACAGGGCAACGAAAGGAGAUCC